AAUCUUCCGCAAUGGACGAAAGUCUGACGGAGCAACACCGCGUGAGUGAUGAAGGUUUUCGGAUCGUAAAACUCUGUUGUCGGGGAAGAACAAGUAUGAUAGUAACUGAUCGUACCUUGACGGUACCCGACCAGAAAGCCACGGCUAACUACGUGCCAGCAGCCGCGGUAAUACGUAGGUGGCAAGCGUUGUCCGGAAUUAUUGGGCGUAAAGCGCUCGCAGGCGGUUCUUUAAGUCUGAUGUGAAAUCCUGCGGCUCAACCGCAAACGUGCAUUGGAAACUGGAGGACUUGAGUGCAGAAGAGGAGAGUGGAAUUCCACGUGUAGCGGUGAAAUGCGUAGAGAUGUGGAGGAACACCAGUGGCGAAGGCGACUCUCUGGUCUGUAACUGACGCUGAGGAGCGAAAGCGUGGGGAGCGAACAG
rnacentral:rRNA from 1 species